rnacentral:rRNA from 1 species
GAUGAACGCUAGCGGCAGGCUUAAUACAUGCAAGUCGAGGGGCAGCAUAAGUAGCAAUACUUGAUGGCGACCGGCAAACGGGUGCGGAACACGUACGCAACCUUCCUUUAAGUGGGGAAUAGCCCGGGGAAACCCGGAUUAAUACCCCGUAAUAUUAUGAUGUGGCAUCACAUUAUAAUUAUAGAUUCAUCGCUUAAAGAUGGGCGUGCGCCUGAUUAGGUAGUUGGCGGAGUAAUAGCCCACCAAGCCUGCGAUCAGUAACUGGUGUGAGAGCACGACCAGUCACACGGGCACUGAGACACGGGCCCGACUCCUACGGGAGGCAGCAGUAAGGAAUAUUGGUCAAUGGACGCAAGUCUGAACCAGCCAUGCCG